GAGUUUGAUCCUGGCUCAGAUUGAACGCUGGCGGCAGGCCUAACACAUGCAAGUCGAGCGGAUGAGAGGAGCUUGCUCCUUGAUUCAGCGGCGGACGGGUGAGUAAUGCCUAGGAAUCUGCCUGAUAGUGGGGGACAACGUUUCGAAAGGAACGCUAAUACCGCAUACGUCCUACGGGAGAAAGCAGGGGACCUUCGGGCCUUGCGCUAUCAGAUGAGCCUAGGUCGGAUUAGCUAGUAGGUGAGGUAAUGGCUCACCUAGGCGACGAUCCGUAACUGGUCUGAGAGGAUGAUCAGUCACACUGGAACUGAGACACGGUCCAGACUCCUACGGGAGGCAGCAGUGGGGAAUAUUGGACAAUGGGCGAAAGCCUGAUCCAGCCAUGCCGCGUGUGUGAAGAAGGUCUUCGGAUUGUAAAGCACUUUAAGUUGGGAGGAAGGGCUGCAAGUUAAUACCUUGUAGUUUUGACGUUACCAACAGAAUAAGCACCGGCUAACUUCGUGCCA
rnacentral:rRNA from 1 species